rnacentral:rRNA from 1 species
GUAGGGGGCAAGCGUUGUCCGGAAUCAUUGGGCGUAAAGCGCGUGUAGGCGGCUCGGUAAGUCCGCUCUGAAAGUCCAGGGCUCAACCCUGGGAUGCGGGUGGAUACUGCCGGGCUCGAGUCCGGAAGAGGCGAGUGGAAUUCCUGGUGUAGCGGUGAAAUGCGCAGAUAUCAGGAGGAACACCAAUGGCGAAGGCAGCUCGCUGGGACGUGACUGACGCUGAGACGCGAAAGCGUGGGGAGCAAACAGGAUUAGAUACCCUGGUAGUCCACGCCGUAAACGAUGGGCACUAGGUGUGGGAGGUGUCGACUCCUCCCGUGCCGAAGCUAACGCAUUAAGUGCCCCGCCUGGGGAGUACGGCCGCAAGGCUAAA